rnacentral:lncRNA from 1 species
CCCCUUCUGGGAACUGAAGCAAUGCUGGUGUGAGAGGGAGCCAUGGUUGGGACUCUUCCCAUGUGACCUGAGAAGUAUGGGAAUAAGCCACUGUGUAGUGGAUCCCAUUUGUUAAAGGUAAUGUUGAAGGGGCUUGCGGUUGGUUUGAGUUAAAUCCAGAUCAAAUAAAGGAAAAUAUUAACUCAAGAGUGAAUUAUGUAACCACAGAACUUACUAUGGAGUUUGCCUUCACAAUGGUGCAAUCAAAAGAUUUAGACCAGUGAAUCUUCAACAUAUAACUAAGACUGCAAUUAAAACUACACUUAUCAGGGAGAAGACAUCUGAAGGGAGCCCUGUUUAGGGAAGCUUUUAAUGUUUGAUGGACUACUGUGUUUUAAUACUUUGUUGGAAGCUGCCUAGAGUGGCUGGGGAAACCCAGCCAGAUGGGCAGGGUAUAAAUUUAUUAUAUUAUUAUUAUUAUUAUUAUUAUUAUUAUUAUUAUUAUUGAUUGGGAAGUGGGAGGUAGUUAAGGCUGGGCUAUUAAUUGCAUUGAAAUCAGAACAAUGUCCUUAGCAAUAGCAUUUUUAGAGAGGAGGAAUAGUAAACCAUAAUGCAAGCUGGUACAUCUGGACUGGAAUACAUAUGAAGAGCUGAACAAUUUUAUUGGUAUUUACCUAGUAAAUAAUGUUGGCCCCUGGAAAGAGGCAGUAUUUGUGCUCCUUGGCACAAAGGAAUCAAGCAGUUAAAUCCGCUGGUGUGUAGAGCUCCAGCCUCCAGUUUCAAACAGAACAAUCCCAUCUGGCCUAUCCAUUACAGCUCUGCUAGCUGAGGGAGACUGCAGGUCAUAUCAGGAAAUCUUUGAAACAGAGCGCUCUCCCCAAGGUAGCAUUUUUGCAAGGACUACAGCAAACCUGCCAGUUAGAGAGUCUUCAGUUCAUGUUGUGGAGUGGAAUCCUCUCAUGAGUAAGCUGCAAAUUCCACAUUCACAAACCACUGAAAUCCAUAGGACCUUAGUCAAGUCUCAUUUAUUUCAAUGGGUCUACUCUAGUGUGUCUAAGUCUGGAUUCAAACCACUUUUAUUUUCCUUUUUAAGCCCCCACCCCAUUUGUCUCUCUCUCCUUAAAUCUUGAGCACCACCUGCUAAAGUAACAUCCACAAAAUGAAUGGAACUUAACUGAUACCAUCUAAAUCACUACUCAAGCCAUAGUAGUUUGGGAAGGGCAUUAUCUUUCCAUUUCCUCCCCACAUCCCAGAAAAUUCUGUCACUACUUGAAUGACUAAGACUGGAUCUGCCCCGAUAGGUUCUUUUUGUUGUGGUUGUAACAAAGGGCACUGAACUUGAGUCACAGGGAAUGCUUUAUAUUUCCUGAGCUAAUAGGGACUUCGAUUACAAGGACUAUUAUUUUGCCUUGAACUAAAUCCUUUCAAGACCCCAUUAAUUCACAUCAAUAGCCAAACUGCUUGUACUGGCAAAACAUUUCUGCUCAUUAUUUUCUUGUGUCAUCUGAAAAAUGUUGAUAAAGUUCAUAUCAAGGCCACCAAAACCCAUUUCAUUUUUGACCCUAUACAUCCUUUGGGCUACCAGGAUAUUUAUUCAUUCUUCCAUUGAAAUUGUGAAGGAACAUUAUAUCCAUGCGAUACCAAAAAGAGAAAAAGAUGAAGAAUGGUCUCCUUCAAAUGGUUCCCUAUUGAAAUGAAGUAUAUAAUAGCAAAGAGGUCAAAACCAUACCUAGCCUGUGCCUUUGUUUUCAGUUCUUUAUAAAUAGCUCAAAUACAUCGAGAUUGCUUCUCAUAUUGCUAAGAGUUUCCAUUUUAAUAAAAAUGUACGUUUUGCAACACAGCAAAAACCAGCUGCUAAAGCAUUAAUAGUCUGACUGUGCUCCACAGCAUAUAAUUCCCAUUAAAAAUAGUAUUGGUGACAUAUUUUUCAAUUAAUAAAUGCUUUGAAAACUGAUGGCAUUUCAUUCUACUUUGGAAUCAAGGUAGCUAUGUAGCUAUAUAGGCAAGAUUUCCACAGGCUAAGCAAAUAUUUUUACAGAGUUACAUAAAACAGUUCUUAAGUGAUCAAGUCAAGCAUCGUGAACAAGACAACACAAUCUACCCAACGCUGCCAUUCUGUUCAUGCAACCAACUUCCAGUUGCACAAUAGAACUUUUCCCUCUUCUCCACAAACACAACCCACAAACACCCUCAAAAUCCAGUCCAGAACAAAUUGUUGGGGGACAGGAAAAGGAGAGAAAGUAUUGUUAUAGGACUGGAACUCUCCAUAUGCAACAUUGGAUACAACCCUGUGGGUUACCCCAACCCUCAGCAUCUGCAAUUUUGACUUGCACUUGAAGAUUUAUAUAGUUUAAUUUCAAACCAACAUCAGGCCUGUUUUCAGCACUGAAUAGCCUGGGUAGCCCUAAUGGAUGACUUCCAACAGAAGCAGGAAGAACAUGACUCUGUUGAUUCUCCUUGACCUCAUGGAGACUUUUCAUGCCCCUGAUCACCUCUGUGAGUUUAGAAUUGGGGGCAUGGUCUUGUAAUGGUUCCACUCCUAAUUUCAGAGUAAUUUUUCAUGGACUACACUAGAAGAUUCCUGCUCAACCCUUUGGCACUUCUGUGGAGUCCCAUGAGGUUCCAUCUUGUUCCAUGUUUCUCUUUAACAUCUGAACAAAGGUUACUGGAAAAGGCCAUUCAAAUGACUUAGAGCAAAGAAACUCAACUCUAUUUCUUUUUGUUAUCCAACUCAGGUGAUGGAUUCAGCAGCUGGCUGGCUGAAGACUAAUAAACUGAAGUGUAAACCUGACAAGAUGGAGCUCCUUUGAAUAAAUGGUUCUCUAGCUCAGGGAAGUAUGGUGGCAAGAGAUGGACACAUUUGAAAAAGUUUCCAUUUGUUUCCUUUUCAGUUUUUCUUCCAUCCAGGGAUCUCCUGCAGUUGCAAUUAUCAAUUACCCAUUAAGCCUCAUAAUGUUCCUGUUGAAUGUCAUGUCAGUUAAUGGGAAAAUAUUGGUCACCCCAGAUUUCAUUCUGGAUUGGCAAGGUGACCUACCAUAUUAUUACCAAGACCUGACAAGGCAAAGUGUGUGUGCUUGUCUCUCCCAGCUGAGCACAUGAUGUUUCUCAGUACAGUGCUAAGUCUUUAAGGGCAUGAUUUCACUGUGAUCUCACUGUGAUUCCAUCUUCAUGUUGUUGUUGUUGUUGUUGUUGUUGUUGUUAUUAUUAUUAUUCAACACAGGAUAGUGAUUAUAUUCAAUAGCCUCCCUGCCUGAGCUGGUGGAGAUGAUCUCAUGAGUGGCACUAAAGAGACUUAGAAUGUUUUAAUCUUUUAUUUUUGAAUUUUAAAUGGACUUACUAGAUGCUUUGCAGUUACUUUUCAAGACAGAAAGGGGAAGUCCUAGCAGGCAUUAUGUAGAACUCCGACUUUUACAAUACAGAGAAAGUCUAUUCAACUCUGCACUGCAGACCUAUAGAGGUGACAGGGGCAGCAAGCGGGUAGGAGCUCAUGUGCUUGGCUCCACUCCCCCGCUCUCAUGUUCUACUCACUUCAUAAAAUAUAGAGCUAUAAUUAUAAGCCCAUUAAAUAUGUUGUUUUGUGGUAGGCAUGAAGGGGCACAAAAAGCAAGGCAAAGGCAGUAAGAGCCAGAAGCGGCUGGCAGUGCAUCAAAGGUGGAGCUGCGCUGCUAUCCUGGUUUCUCAAUGCUGUGUGUCACUGCUGAUUACCGAGAAGGGAAGGGGUAAGGUGCUGAGCUCCUGCUAGCUUGCCUCUUACCCCUACUCUCUCUUUUCAUGUGUCACUGGGAAACCAGGUUAGCAACACAACCUCAUUCAUGCCACCCCAUUGGCCGCUACUGGUAAGAGUACUUGUGGCUCAACAAAACCUUUAUAGGAAUUAUAAUAUAUAUUUGACUUUAUCUGGCCUAUUGGGAUGUGGACUGAAGUACUCUACUGACUUCACAAAAGUACAUUUAUUUGUUCAUGCUUCAAUCACAAUCAAUUAAUUGGUGGUGACAGUAUAAAAUAGCUAAAAGUUUGAAAAGAACAUUUUAUACAAAAUUGUGAUCAAGAGAGUUAAAUGCUUCAUUAGUACACACAGUGUGACAUAGUUAAAAAGUACUAUAGGUAUCCAGUGUAUCACUUAUUAUCCAAAUAGCAAUUGCAUCUUCUGCAAAUAAUAUAAUGCCCUUGGUAAAGUAUAUUGAUCGGCCUGACCUCUUGACAAGGAAAGCAAACACAAUUUACUGUGGCAUUUGAUUCAUAUUCAGACUACUCAAGAGUUCACUCUCCUACAAGAUAUCUUUAGCAAAGCAGAGAUUCAUCUUCCAAUGAAUGUGUUUUGGAGAGCACGGAACUGCUGAUCCAGGUUUUUCAGCUAACCGUCUUACCAAGGCUAAAUUGAAAGAUUUUCUAAGGCAUGUUGUGGCUGCGGGAUCUCAGCAGCUCUGACCACAGCUGGAAGUCCACUAGCUCCAUUGACCACAUCAGUAACCAUAGCAAGAGUGAGAAAGAAAUCAGAAAUCCAAUAUUGCCAACCGGGGCCCACCAUUUAUCUCUGCAAGUGCAACAGGGAGAGAUUUCAAGUACUUAAUACACACAGUUAUGUAUUCUGUCCUGUUACUGUUUUUGAUUAAACAGAUUUUGCAGGUUUCUAAAUCACUACAAAUGCCUAUUUGACCAAAGAUUAUAGUAAUUUUGUGUCUGUGUAUAUAGGGCUUUCACCUCUAUCAUUCUGCCUUUAAAUCAAUAUCGUCUAUGUAUAGCUUUAGCAGGGAGGGAAGUUUACUCAUUUAUAGGUUGUACUUGGUCAAUGCAUUCUUAGUUGUUUCAUUUCUACUUUCUAAUGAUACUGUCCUGCUCUUUGGAUAUUUGGGGUUUACAUUGUAAUACACAGGCAUAAUACAGGUAAUGUUGCUGCCAGAAAUUCAACUCAUUCUGGUCAGCAAAAUAAGACAGAAAAGGGAUUUGAUUGAUUGACUUCCUGUUCACAGUGGUUGUCCAUCCACUGACAUCUAUAUCCUUUGAGUUUCAUUUUAAUGAAAGGCAAGAAGUGACCUAGUGAUAUAGAAGUGACCUCCUUGAUUCUGAAGCAUAUUAUGAAGUGAAACACAAGGAAAAGAUAAUGCCGUGUGCACUGGAGUUUGAAAGUAAUACUUACAGUUUCUAUAGCAGCUGGUCUUAUGAGUUUUUGGUCUAUUAUUAUAAGACCUUAUUUGUUCCUCAGUUCUAACAGUUGUAAGUAUUUAUUUAUUUAGUCAAAUCAUUGAUUCAUUAAGUGUAUAUUAUGUUGCAGUGAGCUCACUUUAUAAAGACAAAUAACUUCCAAAAUGUAGCUUCUCUUGUCCCUCUUUGGCCCAUAUUGGAGUGUUCCAUCCCCAAACUUGAAAGCACAAACAGGAAGAAAAGUGGUGUUGGUGGUGGCAAAUGUUGUCCCCUCUGGCACAUCACCUGCACACAAUCUAGCACCCUCCAUGAAUUUUGGGUUGAAGGUCUGAAGCAAGAAGCCUCCUCAACUCUAGAAGGCUCCAUACACAAUUCAAAAUUGUAGGAGUUUAAUUCAUCAUUUAAAACUCUAGAUUUAAAACUCAUCAUUAAAACUAGGUUUCGGGUUUGCAUGGGACGAGGCUUCACAAGCACAGAAAGUUUCUAUCUUCACAUCUGCACCUUCCAUGUUUUAGAGAGCUCUAAACAUGAUAAUGAUGACACACUUGGCAGGAAACUAUGUCUAUGACCUCUUUAUGUGAGGGGGUGGGUAGGAAUUAUAUGUAUGAUAUUAGAGAUCUGAUUUUCUUGCUGCUUUUAUAUCCACUUAAUAUUUCUUGUAAUCUCUGUUGUGAUCCUGUAAGUUACUUUGAAUAAAAAUAAGAAGUAAUAACUAAUGCUCACAAAAUGUGUACUAGAUUGUAAUAUCCUUGGAGGCAAAGACUGGACUAGCAGCCCAGUUCUGGAACUUGGCCCUCAGAGUUCAGUAAGACAUCACCUUUGGGAUUCAAGGGCUCUGCUUACAACAGGCAGAGCUCCCCUUCAACAAUACUUAUUCUCUCUCUACUUCUCUAAGCAAUGAGAAGGUUGAAAGUCAAUGAGAAGUCUAUGAGACCUCUCUAUAAGACUCCCAUCUGGUCCAGCCAGCACAGACAGUAGUUAUAGAUGAUGGGAGCUAUAGUCCACAACCUAUGGAGGUCCACAUGUUCACUAUCCAGUAUCUUUGUAAUACUUGCUUUAUUUACAAAUAUACAAGCAGGUUCGAAGAAAGGGAUAGUUGGUACUCUUACAAGACCACAGAUUAAUUUAAGAUGAUCAUCCCAGAACAAAGAAACUUCAAAGAAAACUCCAUCAUGAAACUGCUGAACUGUAACUUAUUUAAAAAGUUCAGUUCUGAAUAGAGAAAAUUGUUUGCUGUGCCACAAUGUGUGUUAAUUUACUCAGUGAUUCUAAAGCAAUUGUGUUAUCACCAAUCACAACUACUGUGGUCACUGUCCUGUUGCAUACAUGUUAGCAAUAAUAUAUUGUCACUUCAUUUAGCAAUGCUAAGAUAACUGCAUUAUCAAAAGUUACUGCUGCUGUUAAGAUAAUUUUGCAUACAUCUAGGGGGAAAUUAUUUGGCAAGAACCACCAGGAUGAGCAGCUUAGGAUGCAGUGGAUCUCCAGCUCAGCUGGCAUUACGUCUCCAACCCUGGCUCAGCCAAAGAUAUAUUUGUGUAAGUUGUUCAGCUGGAGCACAGUCAAAGCUGGCUAAGGGAAGGCCUGUGUAAGUCUCUGAAAAUGGUGGGCGGGACCAGAGAGGGGAAGGAUUUUGGCUGGAUCCUAAAACCAUUCAGUUUGGCCAUGUUACCUGGCAACCCAGCACAGGGCACUGUUUUAAAGGCUUCUUUUCCCUCUGCAGGCUUAGGCAGAAUAGCAGUAGCAGCCCCACUGCUGAAUGGGGUUUAGAUCUGGUGUAACUUUACACUGACUUAACCUAGACUAGAUUCUUCCCUUGAGCUCUGACUGAACUGUUGCCAGCUGUACUAUUGCGUUCCUUUGCCAUUUAACCCCAAUCUUUACAUCUUUCUCUUUACACAUAUGUAUAUACCUAAGAAUCAUAUUCUAUGCAUUUGAUGAUGGCUCUAGACCAUGACAGCUUGUGCUAUACAUAAUUUGCAAGUCUUUGAGGUGUCACAGGGCUCUUUGUUGCUUUUGCUGCAACAGCAUGGCUACCCCUCUGGCAAUUGUCAAAGGGCUAUUAAUAUUCUUUUGUCAAAUCCCAGGCACUCAUGAGUUGAAAGUUUAAGACAAAACCAUAAUGACAGACCCAGUCACAGUAAUUGCAAAGCAAACUCAGAACAAUGCCAUAUAUUGCUUGCAUUAUUUUUGAUGGAGUAGAGAGCUGACUAUGAAACCUGACGCCAUAAUAACCCCUUUAUUUGUUUCAUUGUCAAAGAGUCCACAUAAUCCUUUGCUUCCUUACUUAUUUAGUAUCUCCCAUUGUUUUGGAACAAUGCUUCUUCAGCCCUCUAUGCUGAACCACUAGGCAAUUAGACAUAUUAAAUUAUGGGACUACCUCCUAUUUGCCACAAGGAAUUCUCAGUUUUAUUGAUGAUACCAAUCUUGCUGUAUCUGCAUCUCUAGUGACUCAAUACUGGCAAACAAUUAAUCUCUAAGAGUGGCAACUAAGAAUGUGUUUAAUUCACAGAGCAAGCUACCCCUGAUAAAUUAUGUGAUGUUCAGCUUGUAAGUGCUGGUUCUUGCUAUGGGACCUACAUAUUUUUUUAGUUCUGUAUCCUUAUCAUUUGGCCCAUGAUACUUUAGAAGAACUCCAGAAUGAAUAAAGAAAUAAAAGUGUUUUCUCUUUCAAAAACUGGUUGUUUUAUUGCCCUUAGUGAUACCAUUGUCAAUAAAUACAUUUUUAGGGAAUCCUGGCAAUAUCACUAUUGCUCCUUCUGCCUUGUAAUAAAGCAUGUUGCAUUAAUAGUUGCAUGUACAGCAGUACUGUGUAUGAAGAUAAAGCAGAUGAGAAGUUGACAUUGAGAAAUCCAAAUACAUUGUGCACUGUACAAUCAAAACAGCUGAUUACAUGACAGCCUGUCCUUUUGUACACAAUGUAGAGAACGCCAGUGGAGUCUGCUUGUGAAUGUUGAGGUGGAGGGCACUUCAAUAUUACACUGUCAAUCAAGUUUGUGUUCUGUUUAGAGAUUGUAAGUAUACAGACCCCCAAGGGAGCAAUUCUGUACACAAGAAGCUGGGGUAAAGCACCCCGGUGUAAGUUAAGCCAGCAAAUAUAGCACUCCGUUCAGCAGUGGGACUGCUGCUGUUUUGCCUAAGUCUAGCAGAUGGAAAAUAAGCCUUUAAAAUAGGUCACGUGAGCAAGCUGAAUGGGUUUAAGAUCCAGUUAAAUUCCCUCCGCCUUGGUCCCUCCCCUGCCCUAUGUCUGGAAUGUCCCUUUUAUGGGACUUACAGUCAGUGUUGAUUGAUCUGGCUGAGAACCAGGUGAGUCAGGAUGCACACAGUAUGUUGGCAUAUAUUUGGCUUUCCCAAGAUUGGGAGUUUAACUCCUGUUGAGCCUGAGCUGCUCUUCUCAGCAGAUCAUGCUAUAUGGUUGUCCCCUUAGACACCCUUAGCUGAAAAAUAUUAAGUGAUGAUCUAAACAGCUGCAGCCAACACAAACAUGUAUCAGGAGAAGAAAGAUGAAAAAAGGGUUGCACAGUCUUUGAGCCCUGGGCUCUCUGGACAAUUGCAGAAAACCCACCUUGAAGCAGAUCUCAAAAACAUAAUCUAUAUUUAGAAUAAAUACUAUGGUUUAAUUACGUUUGGUCUAAUUUAUCAUGACUUGCUUCACCUAUUGAUUUAUGACAGGUGGUCAUCCAAUAACAUGAAGACAACAGUACCCACAUUACGAAGCCUACAUUUUUAAAAG